rnacentral:rRNA from 1 species
AGUGAACGCUGGCGGUAGGCCUAACACAUGCAAGUCGAACGGCAGCACAGUAAGAGCUUGCUCUUACGGGUGGCGAGUGGCGGACGGGUGAGGAAUACAUCGGAAUCUACUUUUUCGUGGGGGAUAACGUAGGGAAACUUACGCUAAUACCGCAUACGACCUACGGGUGAAAGCAGGGGAUCUUCGGACCUUGCGCGAUUGAAUGAGCCGAUGUCGGAUUAGCUAGUUGGCGGGGUAAAGGCCCACCAAGGCGACGAUCCGUAGCUGGUCUGAGAGGAUGAUAAGCCACACUGGAACUGAGACACGGUCCAGACUCCUACGGGAGGCAGCAGUGGGGAAUAUUGGACAAUGGGCGCAAGCCUGAUCCAGCCAUACCGCGUGGGUGAAGAAGGCCUUCGGGUUGUAAAGCCCUUUUGUUGGGAAAGAAAAGCAGCAGGUUAAUACCCCGCUGUCCUGACGGUACCCAAAGAAUAAGCACCGGCUAACUUCGUG